GUAGGGAAUCUUCCACAAUGGACGAAAGUCUGAUGGAGCAACGCCGCGUGAGUGAAGAAGGUCUUCGGAUCGUAAAACUCUGUUGUUAGAGAAGAACGUGCAUGAUAGUAACUGAUCAUGUAAUGACGGUAUCUAACCAGAAAGCCACGGCUAACUACGUGCCAGCAGCCGCGGUAAUACGUAGGUGGCAAGCGUUGUCCGGAUUUAUUGGGCGUAAAGGGAACGCAGGCGGUUUUUUAAGUCUGAUGUGAAAGCCUUCGGCUUAACCGAAGAAUAGCAUUGAAAACUGGAAGACUUGAGUGCAGAAGAGGAGAGUGGAAUUCCAUGUGUAGCGGUGAAAUGCGUAGAUAUAUGGAGGAACACCGGUGGCGAAAGCGGCUCUCUGGUCUGUAACUGACGCUGAGGUUCGAAAGCGUGGGUAGCAAACAGGAUUAGAAACCCGAGUAGUCC
rnacentral:rRNA from 1 species